rnacentral:rRNA from 1 species
AAUGAACGCUGGCGGCAGGCCUAACACAUGCAAGUCGAGCGGAGCGGCGGACGGGUGAGUAAUAACUAGGAAGCUGACUGACCGAGGGGGAUAACGUACGGAAAUGGACGCGAAUAUCGUAUAAUUCCAGAUGAGACUAGGGCGGAGUAGCUAGUUGGUGAGGUAAUGGCUCACCAAGGCUACGAUCCGUAACCGGGCUGAGUGGAUGAUCAGUCACACUGGAACUGAGACACGGUCCAGACUCCUACGGGAGGCAGCAGUGGGGAAUAUUGGACAAUGGGCGAAAGCCUGAUCCAGCCAUGCCGCGUGUGUGAAGAAGGUCUUCGGAUUGUAAAGCACUUUAAGUUGGGAGGCGUUACCGAAAGAAUAAGCCCCGGCUAACUCUGUGCCAGCAGCCGCGGUAAUUC